GAGAACACUUUUUUCAAAAGUUGGCAUACUUUAUCCACAAAGUUGACCUGGUAACCUAUUAUUUCUUGAAAA